GGAUGGGCUAUCUAUAUCUCCGUAAGCAGCGCACUCCUCCUCCCAGCGCUCUUACAUCGGACUGACAACACUCCUCCUCCCAGUUGUCAGUCAGGAUCAAGAGCCUGGCGCACCUCCUCCCGCGCCAGGCUCUUUUCU
rnacentral:sRNA from 2 species